UACGUAGGGGGCAAGCGUUGUCCGGAAUCAUUGGGCGUAAAGCGCGUGUAGGCGGCCAGAAAAGUCCGCUGUGAAAACUCGAGGCUCAACUUCGAGCUGUCGGUGGAAACUUUCUGGCUAGAGUCCGGAAGAGGAGAAUGGAAUUCCUGGUGUAGCGGUGAAAUGCGCAGAUAUCAGGAGGAACACCUGUGGUGUAGACGGCUUUCUGGACCAUAACUGACGCUGAGACACGAAAGCGUGGGUAGCAAACAGG
rnacentral:rRNA from 1 species